GACCGGCGCACGGGUGCGUAACGCGUAUGCAAUCUACCUUUUACAGAGGGAUAGCCCAGAGAAAUUUGGAUUAAUACCUCAUAGUAUAAUGACUCGGCAUCGAGAUAUUAUUAAAGUCACAACGGUAAAAGAUGAGCAUGCGUCCCAUUAGCUAGUUGGUAAGGUAACGGCUUACCAAGGCUACGAUGGGUAGGGGUCCUGAGAGGGAGAUCCCCCACACUGGUACUGAGACACGGACCAGACUCCUACGGGAGGCAGCAGUGAGGAAUAUUGGACAAUGGGCGCAAGCCUGAUCCAGCCAUGCCGCGUGCAGGAUGACGGUCCUAUGGAUUGUAAACUGCUUUUAUACGAGAAGAAACACUGCUUCGUGAAGCAGCUUGACGGUAUCGUAAGAAUAAGGAUCGACUAACUCCGUGCCAGCAGCCGCGGUAAUACGGAGGAUCCAAGCGUUAUCCGGAAUCAUUGGGUUUAAAGGGUCCGUAGGCGGUUUAAUAAGUCAGUGGUGAAAGCCCAUCGCUCAACGGUGGAACGGCCAUUGAUACUGUUAAACUUGAAUUAUUAGGAAGUAACUAGAAUAUGUAGUGUAGCGGUGAAAUGCUUANAGAUUACAUGGAAUACCAAUUGCGAAGGCAGGUUACUACUAAUGGAUUGACGCUGAUGGACGAAAGCGUGGGUAGCGAACAGGAUUAGAUACCCUGGUAGUCCCCGCCGUAAACGAUGGAUACUAGCUGUU
rnacentral:rRNA from 1 species